rnacentral:rRNA from 1 species
AACGAACGCUGGCGGCAUGCCUAACACAUGCAAGUCGAACGAGACCUUCGGGUCUAGUGGCGCACGGGUGCGUAACACGUGGGAAUCUGCCCUUUGCUUCGGAAUAACAGUUAGAAAUGACUGCUAAUACCGGAUGAUGUCGAAAGACCAAAGAUUUAUCGGCAAAGGAUGAGCCCGCGUAGGAUUAGGUAGUUGGUGGGGUAAAGGCCUACCAAGCCGACGAUCCUUAGCUGGUCUGAGAGGAUGAUCAGCCACACUGGGACUGAGACACGGCCCAGACUCCUACGGGAGGCAGCAGUGGGGAAUAUUGGACAAUGGGCGAAAGCCUGAUCCAGCAAUGCCGCGUGAGUGAUGAAGGCCUUAGGGUUGUAAAGCUCUUUUACCAGGGAUGAUAAUGACAGUACCUGGAGAAUAAGCUCCGGCUAACUCUGUG